GUGUGAGUUGAAGAGGUUUUAAGUUUUUGAGAACACAAGCCAAGGGAGUAGAAGGAGGAAUGGAGGGUGGAAGCUUGCCCAUAGUGAAGGAAGCAAGCCUAGAGAAAAGAGAGAGUAGAGAAACGGAGGGAAGGGGUUCGGGGGUUCUUACCUUCCAGAAAAGUGGGAAAAGGGGUUGGGGCACAGAGAUAAGAGGUUGGGGUGCAGAAAUAAGGGAUUGGGGUGCAGAAAUAUGAGGUUGGGGUGCAGAAAUAAGGGACUGGGGCACAGAGAUAUGAGGUUGGGGCAUGGAAAUAAGGGAUUGGGAUACAGAGAUAAGAGGUUGGGGCGUGGAAAUAAGGGAUUGGGGGUUCUUGCCCUGUAGAAAAGCAGGACUUGCUGCUAACAGUGAAGGAGAAGGGGUUGAGGGGUACUUGUUCCUGCCCCAGAAAAGUGGGACUUGCCGCUAAGGGUGAAGGAGAAGGGGUUGAGGUGUACUUGCCCCUCUCCCAGAAAAGCAGAGGAGGGGUAGAGACAAGGAGAGAAGCGGUUGGGGUACUUGCCACUUCCCCAGAAAAGCAGGACUUGCCGCUAAGGGUGAAGGACCAAGGCAGGCCUCCCUGCAUGGUCUGACAUCCUUGAAAGGUGGGUGUAUAAUCAGAGAGGUGUCCCUGCAAUGAUUAAACACCAAGGGAAGGCUGCCUUUCCAGUCCGUGACUGGCACCGGAGUUUUGUGUCCACGGAUAAAACAUGUCUUCUUUGUCUCUCCCAGAAAAUGAAAGGAAUUGAAAUUAAGAGAAGGGAGAGAUUGAAGAGUGGAAAGGAGAAAGUGGUUGACGGACAGUGAGAGAGGUUGGAGAAGAGAGUAAGAAGAGGCCGCUUACCUGAUUUAAAAUUGGUGAGAUGUUCCUUGGGCUAGCUGGUCUGAGGACCUGAGGUCAUAGGUGGAUCUUUCUCAUGGAGCACAGAACAGGAGGACAGGGGAUUGAUCUCCCAAGGGAGGUCCCCUGAUCCGAGUCAUGGCACCAAAU
rnacentral:lncRNA from 10 species